rnacentral:rRNA from 1 species
UACGAAGGGGGCUAGCGUUGCUCGGAAUCACUGGGCGUAAAGGGUGCGUAGGCGGGUCUUUAAGUCAGGGGUGAAAUCCUGGAGCUCAACUCCAGAACUGCCUUUGAUACUGAAGAUCUUGAGUUCGGGAGAGGUGAGUGGAACUGCGAGUGUAGAGGUGAAAUUCGUAGAUAUUCGCAAGAACACCAGUGGCGAAGGCGGACUCACUGGCCCGGUACUGAC